CGAAGUGGCGACGUAGUGCUAGAGGGGGUCGCCGAAGGUUCAAGAUGGCGAUGUCGGUGGUUGUAAGCGAUGCGACCGACUAGAAAGGUUUUGGUAUCAAGUUGGAAGAGGGAAUGAGACAAAAAAAAAUGGUCGAUCGGAGCUCUGUUGACUGGAGUAGGGUUGCCAAAGAUCGGGGAGGCACCGGCAAUAAAGAGGGGGAGGUGGGUGGCGGCUGGGGUGAGGAGAGAAAGAGGAGUAGAAAGGUGUUAUAAACCCUAAGUUUCAGAUUUUAACAUAAUGUAAGAAUUAUGGUU
rnacentral:lncRNA from 1 species